rnacentral:rRNA from 1 species
UACGAAGGGGGCUAGCGUUGUUCGGAAUCACUGGGCGUAAAGGGCGCGUAGGCGGCCGAUCAAGUCGGGGGUGAAAGCCUGUGGCUUAACCACAGAAUGGCCUUCGAUACUGUUUGGCUUGAGACCGGAAGAGGUUAGUGGAACUGCGAGUGUAGAGGUGAAAUUCGUAGAUAUUCGCAAGAACACCAGUGGUGAAGGCGGCUGACUGGUCCGGUUCUGACGCUGAGGCGCGAAAGCGUGGGGAGCAAACAGG